GCGGGCUCAGCCUGUCCCGCUCGGCUCCGCGGCAGCGGCACACAACCUAUCCCGAUUUGCACUCCGCUCGCCCAGCACAUCCCGCCGGGGUUAAACCCCUCACGCUCCUCCUCUUCCUCCCCCCACCAUCCAUCCCGGCCUGUCGGGGUGGUCCUGCAGCCCCGGCCCGGGGCAGAGCCCGCCCUCCGUAAUCCAUGCGCGGGCGGCACCGCCACCACGGCUGCCGCGGCGCUCUGAGGCGGAGCGGGCUGCGCUGUGCUGGCCGUGCCCCGCCGUCUCCGGCUCGCUGGCCCCUUUCGACCGAUACAGAUGCGCCGGUAAAGAAACUACCACAUCUGUCGGUAUUCCAGGAGAGGCAGAGCUGCGGUACCCGCGCUCCUCUGCAGUUUGCAGAUAAGGACAGCCUGUUAGAGGAAGAGGUUUCUGCUGUAGAUGUGCGCUGUCAUUUUCACAAGGGGCUGCUGUUCCACUCUGAAGUAAAAAUACAUUGAAGAAUUGCAGGUGUGAGAGUGCACCAGCACUGUCCUGGCUGGAAAGCCACUCCUCAAGUGAAUGUAUUGAAGAUUUCUAGACUUGGUUGGACAAAUACCUCUACCUCCAGUUUUAUGAAUACUGCUCGCUAUGGCUGGGGAACUCUGUUUGCUGCUGCUGCUGUUUUGUGGAAGUACAAUUUCAGAGGUACAGCCUAUAUACAAACCACCUCCUGGAACUUUGGAUUUUGGAUUUGUACCAGCCAAGACCUAUGAUACAGGUGCAUACCAUGAACCUGGGGCAAUAGGAAUUUUGUUUAAAAUAGUACAUGCAUUCCUGUACUUAGUGCAGCCAAAUACUUUUCCUCAAGAUCUCAUCAGAAAACUAGCACAGCAGCAGUUUGGAAAUACACAGGGCGAUUAUCAAAAGCCAGAAAAUGUUGUCCUGACUCUUCAGGCCAUCUACUAUGAAAUCGGUUUUAUAGUCUCCGCAGCCUUGGGAUUGCUAUUUAUUUUGUUACUGCCUCUUGUGGGACUUUGCUUCUGUAUGUGUCGUUGCUGUGACAACUGUGGUGGGGAAAUGCAUCAAAGACAGAAGAAAAAUGCUGACUGUCAGAGGAGCUGUUUUGCAACAUUUCUUUUUGUUGCUUCUUUAAUAAUAAGUGUUGGAGUGCUCUGUGCAUAUGCUGCCAACCAGCAUUUAACUAACCAAGUCCGAGGAGCAAAGAAACUGGUUAACAGUAAUUUUAAAGAUCUGAAAAUUUUCCUUAACGACACUCCAGCGCAAAUUGACUACUUGGUGAACCAGUACAACACAACUAAGGAUAAAGCAUUGUCUGACCUAAAUAAUGUUGGACCUGUGCUUGGAAGCAGAGUUCAAGAACAGCUGGGGAAAGAAGUGCGUCCUGCACUCGAUGCAGCUCUGACAAUGGCAGGAGCCAUCAGAGAAACAAAGGAAGCACUAGAAAAUGUGAGUGUCUCUGUAGAGGUUCUGCAGGAGGGAACAGAGAGACUUCAUGCAAACCUGACAGAUGUUAAAAUGCACCUGAGCAACACCCUCAAUGACUCUGCGUGCAAUGCGGCUCAGGCUGCCUCAACCUGCAACAUCAUCAGGAAUUCAUUAGCUCAGCUGAACAUCAAUGCCAAUUUUAGUGGGUUGCCAGGUGUGAGCUCGCAGCUUGCAAAGAUCAAUGAUGUCCUUAAAAUAGACCUUUCUAGUCUGGUUCAAAAGGGUUAUGCAGCAUUUAAUGAUACUCCAGACUUGGUAGUGAAUCAAACCAGGAACAUUUUAUCAGACAUCAAAAGUGUGCUGGAAUCCAUUGGUUCAAAUAUUACUACCUUCACAAGAGCACUCCCUGUUCAGAAGAUUUUGGCAGAUUUGAUGGUGCAUCUUACACAGAGUGAGGCAUAUGUUCAGGAUUAUUUUCCUCUAGUGGAGCAGUAUGAUUUCUACAGAUGGCUGGGUUGUCUCAUUCUUUGCUGCAUGUUGGUCCUGAUUCUGGUCUUUUAUUACCUUGGAUUGCUGUGUGGCACCUGUGGGUAUGAUAAACAUGCUUCUCCAACAACCAGAGGCUGUAUCUCCAACACUGGAGGAAACUUUCUUAUGGCUGGUGUUGGAUUCAGUUUUCUUUUCUCCUGGGUGCUGAUGAUUGUAGUGGUGCUCACUUUUGUCACAGGUGGAAAUGUAGAAAAAUUGGUCUGUGAGCCCUUUGAAGAUAAAAAUUUAUUCAAGGUUUUGGAUACACCUUACUUACUAAAUAAGCACUGGAAAAACUAUCUUGCUGGCAUCAUCUUUAAAAAUCCGAAUGUUAACUUGACUUUUGAAAAAGUGUACAGUGAUUGCAAGGAAAACAAAGGAAUUUACACUUCCCUUCACCUAGAAUAUCUAUUUAAUAUCAAUGAGCUUUUAAAUAUUAGUAUGUAUACAGAAGAUGUAGCUCUUAAAAUUGAACAUAUUCAGAUAAACCUCAGCAAAAUCAUUCUGCUGGAUGAAAUUGGGAAGGAGAAUCUUCUGAAUUUCAGCUCUUCGGGAAUAGAUGGGAUAGACUUUUCAGCAUAUUUGACAGAGAUCAAUAAAAGUGUUACCAAGGUUGAUCUUCUCUCAUUUGCUAAUGAUUUAGAAGCAAGAGCAGAUCAGCUGCCAAAAGGAGCCCUGGAAAACGCCUUAAAAGGACACGCAAACAACAUUCGAAUGAUUCAUAACCAGCAAGUUGUUCCACUGGAGCAAGCUAUGACUGUCAAGAAAUAUGUUAAAGCUAGGAGCACUUUAAAUCAGAGCAUUAGGUUACUGAAGAGGACAUCAUCUGAGCUUAUGGUUAAGGUGAAAAAUGUCAUUAGUGCUGUUAAUGCUGCCCAGGAUCUCAUAAAUAACAAUGCUUCUCAAGUUAUUGUCCAGGAGACAAAAAAGUACAUGGAUACCAUAAUUGGCUACUUUGAGCAGUACACUGAGUGGGUCAAGGAGUCGAUCUCAAUGGAAGUAGCAGCAUGCAAGCCUAUUGCCAAUGUGAUAGAUACAGCAGUAGAUAUUUUUUUAUGCAGCUAUAUAGCUGAUUCUGUGAAUACCUUCUGGUUCGGUUUGGGAGGCUCUUCGAUGUUUCUAAUUCCUGCCAUAAUUUUUGCUGUAAAACUCUCUAAAUACUAUCGGAGGAUGGAUACAGAGGAUGUUUAUGAUGAUUCCUCUGUCUCAGGGACUUGGCAUUUUACUUUAUGAUAACUAUUCUUACGUAUUUUCCUGUCAGUUUUUUACUGUUUUCUUUUCUACUCCUUGUUUUGCUCAUUGUUCAGUUAGCCUGUGCACUGCAUUUCUCCCAUUUCACAGUGGUUGUUUUUCAUUGCACAUUCACAAGUCAGUAGAGCAGAAAACAGGCAUAUACAGCUGAAAUUACUCACUUAUUAGAGUCUAGUUAAUUACUCCUCCUUUUCUGUGUUUUUUUAGUUUCAAAAAUAUACCCAUGAAAAUGUAAGACUUUUGCUGAUAUUUAUUGAAAUUAUUUUAUUAAUAUGGGAGGGUUUAUAUUUUUAAUGUAACCUGUUACUUCAAAAGAGGUAACAUGUUCUGUUUCUCCAGACUUGAUAGAUUAUAUUAGAGUCUCCAACUCAACAAGAAUAGAAAAAUAAUUAAUUGAUUUUUGGAGAAAAUGAAAAUACUAUAAACUAUAAAAUUAUAAUUAUGUCAUAACUAUUGAAUGUUACAAAGAAAAAGUUAUAUUCUAUUGUAAAGACACAGUUUAUCUUUGCAUAUUAUACCAUCAUCCAUGUACAUGUCUUAGAAGCCAUAUUGUACAUAGUGCAUCUUAUAGUUAACAUGGUCUUUCUUGGUGUAUUUAUUUUAUUACAGUACGGAAAAUGGUAAUAAUGGUUAUCAUAAAGAGCAUUUAUAUGGUAUACACAAUCCUGUUUUUACAAGCUCUGUGGAACAGUGGUAGCACAUACUGGAAAUGUUGAGGGGCUAUAUAAAUGAGGCUCAGGACUCUUCUAUGGGAGUGCAUCAUUGUUCUUCCAAGGGUGUUGGCAUUUCCAUUCAUCUGACAGAUCCUGAGCCACUUGUUUUAUGUCAGCUGUACUGUAAAUCCCAAAUGUACUAUUGAAUGUUAUGCCAUAAACUACUGUACAGAAUAUUUUGUGAUCAGGGCACUGCCUCUCAAAUACCACUGUUCAAGGCUUGGAUUAAAAUGUUUUUUUGGUUUUUUACUUUUUUACACUGGGCUUUCUACCUUACAUCACAGUAUAUGAAUUAAUUAGAUUAACAGCCUUUGCCUAGCAAUUCUCUUAAAACUGUUCAAGUUCUUAUCUUAAAUUGUUGAUUUGUGUUAAAUACAGUACGUACACGUUUACAUAAAAAUACAUUUUGUAUACCAGAGACUUUUGUAUAUACAUUUUUCUUAAAACUUCUAAGUGUUUAGUUAAGAUUUUAAUAUUGUAUAAUACUCUUCACAAAUGAAUUUACCAGCAUGAUCAGUGUUGCUGUUUGGUGCUCUUGAAUGACUACAUUGGACUAAAUUUGGAUUGUAAUGGGGUCCACAGUGUCUCUUUGUGUGUCUGAGAAGCUCAGUUGCAGUUUUGUCAGUUUUGUUUUCUCCCUCUAUUCUUUUCUUUUUUUUUUUCUUUUCCUAAUUAUUUAAUAUUUAGUGGGUUUUGCUGUAUAGACCUGAAAGGGACUUUUUGGAGAAGUUUGUUUUUAAACUUUGGGUGGGAGGGUUUGGGGGUGUGUGGGAUGCAUAAUAUAGUGAAAAAGCUAAGCUUUCUAGAGUUCAGUAGUACUCAAAAAGAGCAUGAGGGAUGUCCUAUGUUGGCAGUUUUUGGAAUGCUUUACCUUCUCUAACUUCCUUUUCUUCUUUCACACCCACUUCUGUAAUGUCCUUAAUAGUAUCACUGUGACUCUUUUGGAGGCAGUGGUAGUAUUUUUGCUAAAUAAUACUAUACUGUGAUUUACAAUAUUGAAAUUCAAGUCUGUUUAGCAAUUGGAGUUAACAUUUGUACUGUUAGAGUUAUUUCACCGAAUUUAGGCAAAUGGUUGAAUUGCUGAAUUAGUUAACAGUAGACUUUAUCAACAAGGCCAAAACUGUUACCAGUGUAAAACCUUCUGGCAGGUGAAGUAGUUAAUAUAUUGAUCUAAAAUAGUAUCUCUUCAUCUAUCAGUAUUGUUAACUUUGUUUCAGACAGGGUUCAUUUUCUUGAAGUAGAGAUAAUCCUGUACAUCAUUAUUAUAAUUUUAAAGAAAUGCUGAAAAAUGAUACCAGUCUCUAAUCUGGAAUAACCUUAAAUUUUUCAUUUUUAUGUCAUAAAUGGAAACAUUUCUAAUUGACAGUAUGUAGCAUAUGUGUAUAUGUAAUGUUCAGAAUUGCAGAUUUUUAAAAGUUUCUAUUUUUAAUUUGAGAAAAUAUUCCCAGUUCAUUUAAAUAAAACAGAUCUUGCUUAACUACCUUA